UACAGAGGUCUCAAGCGUUGUUCGGAUUCAUUGGGCGUAAGGGGUGCGUAGGUGGCGCGCUAAGUCAGGUGUGAAAUUUCGGAGCUCAACUCCGAAACUGCAUUUGAUACUGGCGUGCUUGAGGACUGGAGAGGAGACUGGAAUUUACGGUGUAGCAGUGAAAUGCGUAGAGAUCGUAAGGAAGACCAGUGGCGAAGGCGGGUCUCUGGACAGUUCCUGACACUGAGGCACGAAGGCCAGGGGAGCAAACGGG
rnacentral:rRNA from 1 species